CGGCGAUGUUACUUUGAAAAAAUUAGAGUGCUCAAAGCAAGCCUAUGCUCUGAAUACAUUAGCAUGGAAUAACGCGAUAGGACUCUGGUCUUAUUGUGUUGGUCUUCGGGACCGGAGUAAUGAUUAAUAGGGACAGUUGGGGGCAUUC
rnacentral:rRNA from 1 species